UAAAUGCCCAUAGCUGAUGGUUCAGGAUUUCUUGCUUUUUAGGGUCUCACUAAAGUUUUAGGUUACUAAAAAUAAGAAUUCUAGUUAACACAUAAUUCUCUAUACAAAAUGUGCCAGAAAGGGUUAUGUUAUUAGUGAGAAAAGAAUAACUUUGUCUAAUUCAGAAGUUAUCUAAAAGUUGGUUCAAAUUACAGAUUUGAAAAGGUUAUUUAUGAAACAAUGUAGUAAAGAACUAGUAAGUAGGGGAGAAAGACAUGGAAAUGUUUGGAUAAUAAAAUGUUCUUUAAAACCUGAUACAGAAUUGGAGACAUUUGGCUAAUUAACAUUUUCAUGGUUAAAGCUCAUAGUCUUGAUUAAAAUAAAAUGAAUAUUGUAAAGAAAUGCAUUGGCAGUUUGGCAAUUCUUUUUUAAAUAUAGUUAAGCAUGAAGCUGGAUUUAGCGUGGAGCCAAAUUUCACAUCCAUGCUUGCAUUGCUUCACACAAUGUUUACUGUUUUGCAUGGAUAGUGCUGACACUGGAGUACUUAUUGGUCAUGUGCCUACAGUGAAUUUCUUGAUUGCACAGGAUGUAUGAUGAUAUUGGUGAACUUAAGGAUAUUGAAUUGUGUAUCAGGAAUAAAAUAUUCAUCAUGUGGGUUUUGGGGGGCCCUGGGUAACACCAUAGCCUCCAGGGUAGAUUGAAUAGGAAAAAUUAAGGGUUGGUUUCCUGUUUAUUUGUUUUUGCUUCUAAUUUUCAUUUGUUUGCUGUUUAUUCCCCUCUGGGCUUUGCUUGUGUAUGCAUGUAUAUAUAACACCAUGAAUUUUUUUAGUUUCUAGUGGAAGGGUUUUAUUUGAUUCUGUGGAUAGUUAUUUUGUUUCUUAUGUGUUUCUAGCAAGUCAUCAUUGGUUCCAUUUAGCUGAAAUUCCUAGGCUACCUUUGUCAGGCUUUCAGGAAUUAAUGGAACACACCGGCUUUUUAAUCUUAAACUAGCUUUUUGGAGUUAAGCUUCCUGAUAUGUUAAGUGUGUUGAGCAUACUUUCAUAAAUAGAAUUUGAGUCAUAUUUCUCUCUCUGCCUAAUUUUUCCAAAAUUUGUAAACUAUUUGUGAAUAUUCUUAAUUCACAGCAAUGUGUUUGUCUGCAUACAGUUAAGCAGGGCCACUAGGGCCACUCAGGGAGAAAGAACUCAGAAGCCUGACAUGCCAGCAAAAAGGUAAGAAUUUCUUACCAGUCAGACUCUGGUCUCUGUCUCUCUCUGCAAACUGGUUAAAUAAAUGGUAAAAGUCACUGUUUAUCUCCUCUGCAAAGUUUUGAUUAAUACAGAAAAAGAAUUCUGAGGCUGGUCUUAAACUGUAGUGAAUCCGGAGUGCUUUAUGUGACUUUCUAUACUGUUCUGUUAUAAAGAGGGGCACCUUAGGAUAAAAUGCAUGCCUGGGAACCUAUAGGCUCGCUAUUCAAGGCUGCCCAGCAAACUGGUCAGUCAUGUCCUUGGGAGCUUGACCUUGUAACCAUGUGGCCAUGCUUUCUCUUUUCACAAUGGCGGCCCAGGUUUAGGUUUCAAUUCCUGGCUUAGGGAAUGAGUCCUUUAUCUUCUGCCUGUCUGUGUAUUUAUAUGUGUUGUGUGUGUAAUGUAAAAGAGCUUUAAUUGAUUGGUUUAAUAAUAAUAAGAGUGUUGUGGGAAGUCAGGGACCCUGAACGGAGGGACCAGCUGGAGCUGUGGCAGAGGAACAUAAAUUGUGAAGAUUUCAUGGACAUGUAUCACUUCCCUAAUAAUACUCUUAUAAUUUCUUACACUUGUCUUACUUUAAUCUCUUAAUCCUGUUAUCUUCGUAAGCUGAGGAUGUACAUCACCUCAGGUCCACUGUGAUGAUUGCAUUAACUGUACAAAUUGAUUGUAAAACAUGUGUGUUUGAACAAUAUGAAAUUAGUGCACCUUGAAAACGAACAGAAUAACAGUGAUUUUAGGAAACAAGGGAAGAAAACCAUAACGUCUGACUGCCUGCGGGGUCGGGCAAAAAGAGCCAUAUUUUUCUUCUUGCAGAGAGUCCUAUAAAUGGACGUGCAAGUAGGUGAGAUAUCGCUAAAUUCUUUUCCUAGCAAGGAAGAUUGAUACUAAUACUCCAGGAAGAGAAUUACAUUCCUGGGGGGAGGUCUAUAAACGGCCACUCUGGGAGUGUCUGUCUUAUAUGGUUGAGUAAGGACUGAAAUAUGCCUUGGUCUCCUGCAGUACCCUCAGGCUUAUUAGGGUUGGGAAAAAACCCCACCCUGGUAAAUUUGAGGUCAGACCAGUUCUCUGCUGUCAAACUCUGUUUUCUGUUGUUUAAGAUGUUUAUCAAGACAAUACGUGCACAGCCGAACAUAGACCCUUAUCAGGAGUUCCUGAUUUUGUCCUUGCUCUGUUUCCUCAGAAGCAUGUGAUCUUUGUUCUCCUUUGUGCCCUUUGAAGCAUGUGAUUUUUGUGACCUACUCCCUGUUCUUACACCCCCUCCCCUUUUGAAAUCCCUAAUAAAAACUUGCUGGUUUUGCGGCUCAGGUGGGCAUCAUGGUCCUACAGAUAUGUGAUUCACCCCCAGCGGCCCAGCUGUAAAAUUCCUCUCUUUGUACUCUUUCUCUUUAUUUCUCAGACCAGCCAACACUUAGGGAAAAUAGAAAGAACCUACAUUGAAAUACUGGGGGCGGGUUCCCCUGAUAUAAGAGCUUAAAUAUUUUGUCAGAAAAGUAGAAAGUGUAAUGCCUUUUUAAAAAUUUUAUUUUAUUUUUGAGAUGGAGUCUCUCUCUGUCGCCAGGCUGGAGUGCAGUGGCAUGAUCCCGGUCACUGCAACCUCUCUCUGCCUCCCAGGUUCAAGUGAUUCUCCUGUCUCAGCCUCUUGAGUAGCUGGGACUACAGGCAUGAGCCACCACGCCUGGCUAAUUUUGUAUUUUUAGUAGAGAUGAGCUUUCACCAUAUUGGUCAGGCUGGUCUUGAACUCCUGACCUCAGGUGAUCCACCCUCCUCAGCCUCCCAAAGUGCUGGGAUUACAGGCAUAAGCCACAGCACCCGGCCAUCCAAUGCCUUUUAUUUAGUUCAUGUGACUUAAGUAAUCUUUGGGAACAAAGACAGUUUUAAAGAUUAUUGGUAAAAUAAAAAUAUCUUCAAAAAUUGUAAACAUUUGGCUUAAAUUAUGCAGGUCAGAUACUAGGUUUGCUAAAUACUUUAGGUCAUAAACUGCUUCUUUGACUUUUAAAAAUUGUUCAAUUUAUUUUGGAGCAUUAGAUUCUAGAUAAGGCCUGGGGAUGUGUGAAAUUAGCCAUGCCCCCUAGCUAUGCAAAGAAGGUUAUAAAGAAAAGAUAUUUUACAUACGAAAGGAUCUUAUAUGGUAAAUUUUUGUCCUAAAGUAAAAUAAUUGGUUGUUUAAAAGAGGAAUGUUUAGGACAAAUCAGAAAGUCCAAGCAUGUCAUACAUCGUCUGUGUAUGUCAUGAAAGAAUUUAUGAAAGAGAAUUUAUGCAAGAAAUGUACUAUUUAAAGGUGAUUAGGCCACCUAAAUGCUUCAUAAAAUGACACCAUGACUCUUAAUUGUACAACCUGCCUGCUUUACAGCUAGGUAAGACCUGGGACAUGUGGAGUUAGACACUGGAAGAAGUCAGACUUUAUUUGCACUUCUGUGUGGGUCCUAGGCUCCACACCUUGUACAUAAUUAAAAUCCUAAACUUGGCCGGGCGCAGUGGCUGAUGCCUGUAAUCCCAGCACUUUGGGAGGCUGAGGCAGGUGGAUCACGAGGUCAGGAGAUUGAGACCAUCCUGGCUAACAUGAUGAAACCUCGUCUCUACUAAAAAUACAAAACAUUAGCUGGGCGUCAUGGCGGGUGCCUGUAGUCCCAGCUACUCAGGAGGCUGAGGCAGGAGAAUGGCGUGAACCUGGCAGUCAGAGCCAAGAUCAUGCCACUGCAUUCCAACCUGGGUGACAGAGCGAGACACUGUCCCAAAAAAAAAAAAAAAAUCCUAAACUUACCAAGGUUUUCACUAAAAGUAAAGUUGCAAAGAGUUAACAUUGUAACAUGUAAUCAAGACUACUGAAGAAACUGUUUUACAUGCAAGGUGUGUAAGAAGAGUAAAAUGUGUUAUUGGUAAAAGAUUAUAAGAAGGCAUGGGAAUGUGGAUUUUUUUUUUUUGCCAAGUGUUAAAGAAUUGUUUUAAGUUAAGAUAAAUCUAAAGGUUUGAACAAGUUGUGGAAGGUUUUUAAAAAAUAAAUCUUAUAAAAAAUUCUGUGUGUGAAAUAUUAAUAUAUGUUCCAAAAUUGUAUGGGAUUUCCAAAAUUCUAAUAUGUCUGAGUAUAUGCUAUCAAUCAUAAUUAUGGUUAUUAUGUUAACUGAUUGUAAACCACAGAAAUAACUAAAUUUCCUUGUAUAAAGCUACUAAUCCAAGUAGAACAAAAAAUUAAUUAAAUACUAAGAAAAUAUUUUGUCAGAUUUUCAUGUUAAACCAGCUGAUACUGAAAUUGUUUAGAUAUACAAUUUGAAUGAACUCCAUGGUCUAAGUCAAAUUACUUAUGAUAACCCAUCAGUUACCAGUGCUAUUCAAAUAAUUUGAAGAAACAACUGGUAUUCAAGAGGAUAUAAGUCUAAUGUUAAUUAAGCAUGGACUCAUGGAGAACCAGGAUGACCACCUUGUCCUUCUUGAGUCCUUCAAGGUUUUAUUAUUAAAAGUUCUGCAUUCCACAACUCAUCAUGGAAAAGAUAAAAUGAUCCAAAUUGAAUAUAUUGGUGUGGUGACUUAUACAUUGCUAAAAUAGUUUAUAACCAAUGUUUGGUCCCAUAUUUCUGGGAAAACAAUCAAAGCUUCAGGUACAUUUGGUCACCUGAUGGGCCAUUUAAACAUUUUAUAAAGGAAUUUCUUUCAAUUGUUAUUUUCUUUUUUCUUUUUUUUUUUGGGGAGUCUCUCUCUGCCACCCAGACUGGAGUGCAGUGGCAUGAUCUCAGCUCACUGCAACCUCUGCCUCCCAGGCUCAAGGGAUUCUCCUGCCUCAGCCUCCUGAGUAGCUGGGAUUACAGGCACGUGCCACCACACCCAGCUAAUUUUUGUAUUUUUAGUAGAGAUGGGGUUUCACCAUGUUGGCCAGGCUGGUCUCGAACUCCUGGCCUCAAGUGACUGGCCCACCUCAGCCUCCCAAAGUGUAGGGAUUACAGGCAUGAGCCACUGCACCCUGCCUCAAUUGUUAUUUUCAAUGCAUGUUUUCUGGUUGUAUAAAAGCUUUCCGAUGCAAGAGGGCUGAUGUUAUAACAGUAGAUUAUUAUGCUAUGGUAUAUUUUCACCAGGUAAAGAAAGCUUUUUAUGGUUUGGAUCUUCUGAGAACAUCAGAGAAAGACUGUCCUUGCCAUCCACACUACAGCAAAAUUUUGGGACCUUGAACUUUGGGUUUAUAAUCUCACAACUGAGAAGGGUCCCUCCACAUUCUUGGAACUGUAUAUCCAUUGGAAUCCUUAAGAGACCAUCAAGCUUCAGAUGAUCAUGCAACAUGGGUUCCAGCCAGUUCCAAGUGAAGAGACCACCCCCGGCCAUCAAGGAACUAUCCUCCCUCCACUAAACAGAGCAGGGCUAGCGUUCCAUGAUCCCCAAUAGGUAGGGACUAUGCCCUAAGCCAGCAUAAAGUAGUUAAAGAAGAAAGACCAUCCGUUCCUCUGCCUUCUAUAAAGAUUUAUGGGGUCACAUCUCUCAGGGGAGAAAUAAGGCAGGAGAAUAUGGUCUGGAGGCAGGGAACCUAAGGCCAAUUCAUGCUGGACUUCCUAGAAGUGAAUCAAAUGGAAACACUUCAGCUAUGACAGGGAAUAUCCUCUCCAUUUACAUAGGGCAUACACCGAGUAUCCAAUGGAAACCUCUAGAGGGUAUUUAGACCCCAGGAAAUUCUGUAAUGGGGCUCUUCAACCCCUAUGCUUGGGCCACUCCCACCCUGUGUGGUGUGUACUUUUGUUUUCAAUAAAUCUCUGCUUUUGUU
rnacentral:lncRNA from 1 species